rnacentral:rRNA from 1 species
GAAUGCUGACAUAAGUAACGAUAAAGCGGGUGAAAAGCCCGCUCGCCGGAAGACCAAGGGUUCCUGUCCAACGUUAAUCGGGGCAGGGUGAGUCGACCCCUAAGGCGAGGCCGAAAGGCGUAGUCGAUGGGAAACAGGUUAAUAUUCCUGUACUUGGUGUUACUGCGAAGGGGGGACGGAGAAGGCUAUGUUGGCCGGGCGACGGUUGUCCCGGUUUAAGCGUGUAGGCUGGUUUUCCAGGCAAAUCCGGAAAACCAAGGCUGAGGCGUGAUGACGAGGCACUACGGUGCUGAAGC